CCCUUAGAUGUUCUGGGCCGCACGCGUGCUACACUGAGUGGAUCAGCGGGUCAGGUUGCGCGAAAGUGUUUCCUAAUCUUGAAAUCCGCUCGUGAUGGGGAUUGACGGUUGCAAUUUUCCGUCAUGAACGAGGAAUACCUUGUAAGCGCGGGUCAUCAUCCCGCGCUGAAUACGUCCCUGCCCUUUGUACCCACCGCCCGUCGCUCCUACCGAUUGAGUGGUCCGGUGAGGCUUUGGGAUCUGAGCGGAAAGAGCGUUUCGCUGUUUCUGCUCGGAAAACUCAGUCGAACCUUAUCAUUUAGAGGAAGGAGAAGUCGUAACA
rnacentral:rRNA from 1 species